AAGGGUGGCAAUACUGUGAUCCUCCUAAAAUAACCUUGCAACUCCCCUUCCCCAUGAUCCUCUUUUGGGUCAGGACCCCCAGUUUGAGAAAUGCUGGUCUCCCCCGUGAAAUCUGUAUAGUGUAAAAGUACGUACACACAAGACUAGAUUUCACAGUCCGUGACGCAUUUUUCAUGACCAUGAAUUUGGUAGGGCUCUACUCAUACUCCUGUUUUAUAACUUUUCUCUCUACCUGAGCUCUAAUUGGCUUAGUUCUCAAAUUGUGAAUAUUUGACAACACUCACCAUGCAAACUUACUCUUCAGCUCAUGGGAAAAUACUGAUAUGCCCAAUAUCUGCCCACCCUUGCUUCUGGGUGGUUCUGGACACUUAAAGUAAAUGGCCUCGCUCUGUCUCCUUGCAUGUGUUCAUAGACAGAUACAAACAGAAAUCCAUUAACUUCUCAACUGCCUCCCUCUCUCUCUCUCAACAAGUAAAAUAGUGCAGUGCAAAAGGCAUGUGGGUUACAUGAACAGAAGUCUUGGACGGUUGUUAGUUCUUUCGUUUUUCUUGGGGUAGGAGAGGGCGGGUGAGUUAUGUAACACAGCAGAAGGAACAGUAUACGCAACCAGAAAGGAGCAACAAUGGUGUCAAAGUAGGAUACUGUGAAGAAGAGACAAUGUUCUUCAGAGUGCAACUUCUAGUGUUGGCUUCAACACCUGGGAACUGGAAAAUAAUUGGCCAUGGCUGCAGGUCAUAAAACCGUAUCUGGGAAUAUUUUCAAGAAACUCCUGUACCCCUGGAUACAAAAGGAAUGUGCCAAAUACAGUGAAUAAUGCAACAAAGAGAUGCAAAGCCUGGCUGUAAGAAUGAAACAGCAUUAUGAAAAAUGCUCCUCAGAAGGUAAUGGCUUUGAAGAUGAUGAUGUGGACACAUCUUUGAACAAUCUGGAUCAACUGGGUCCAGUUUAGGUAUAAGGAGUUAUGAAUAUCCAUCUGCAAUGUCUAUAACUUGAAAGUUACCUGCUGAUACCACCAGGAGUGCUGCAACUAAACAUGUCAGACGGUAAAUUAACUGCGUUAAGAAAUGCAUAGAUGAGUUCAUAAGCAGGACCAGCAAAUUCCAGCAAGAUAAAAUGACUCCAUAGAUUAAAGAUUGCUUGGUUCAUUUAUGCAAUAAAUUCUUCAUUUCGGCUUGUUCAAAGCAAACACUUCAUUUGACAUAGUUCAGUCAUUACAACCAGGCUGCACUGCACCUGGCCGAGCAGACAUUGUUGAAAGGUUGUUGAAUACAGUAUGAGAAAAGAGUGUGCAAAAAAAAAAACAUUGACCGGGAAACUUGGUAAUGUGCGUCUUGAUGUAUGGACCAAUAUAUGCAAUGAUCCAGUAAUUUGUUUUUGUGUGACAGACAACAACCCCAUCUUAUGUUAUUUUACAGACAUUGACACAUCAGGAAAUGCCUUUUCAGCAGAAUACUUAAAGUAGGAGUAAAAGCUGUAACAAACAGAACAAAAAUUAAACAGUUGAGCACAUAGCUUUGUUGCAGACAAUGCUGCAAAUGUAGCAAAGAUGAGAAGUCUAGAAGAAGAUAAUGAAGGGAACCUCAAACUUAUAACAUAUGGGUGUGCAAUGGUCCUUGAUUGCGUGUUUUAGCAAAGACUUAAGUACAACUUUUGGAAUAAAGGAAAACACUUCUGCCAUUGCGGAAAACUUCAUAACAACCACUGUGCUUCAGCUUCACUGAACAAAGCAUGAGGAUGAAACUAAUUCUCCCCCAAAAUGUGUGAUGGAAUUCAGGGUUGACUGUUUUGAGCUAUUAAUUAAAAAUUGGCCUCUUCUGAUAACUUUUUGAAGAAAAUCAUAACACAGUAGAUGGAACUCUCACAGCCAGUGUAGUUAACAUUUGGACUAAAGAGAACUGUAGAAGAUAUGCUGAAUAUGGAAAUAGGUUUCAGUAUAGCCUUGAGCAAACUGCAGAAAGAUUGCCGCUGUAUUGCUGAUGCUGUUGAAAUUUGGAAAGAACGUCAAGAGACAUUGAAGAAAGAAAUACCC